rnacentral:rRNA from 1 species
UACGUAGGUGGCAAGCGUUGUCCGGAUUUACUGGGCGUAAAGAGUGUGUAGGCGGUGCUCUAAGUUCGGUGUGAAAUCUCCUGGCUCAACUGGGAGGGUGCGCCGGAAACUGGAGUGCUUGAGCGUGGGAGAGGAAAGCGGAAUUCCUGGUGUAGCGGUGAAAUGCGUAGAUAUCAGGAGGAACACCGGUGGCGAAGGCGGGUCUCUGGGCCGUAACUGACGCUGAGGAGCGAAAGCGUGGGGAGCGAACAGG